GACGAACGCUGGCGGCGUGCCUAAUACAUGCAAGUAGAACGCUGAAGGAGGAGCUUGCUUCUCUGGAUGAGUUGCGAACGGGUGAGUAACGCGUAGGUAACCUGCCUGGUAGCGGGGGAUAACUAUUGGAAACGAUAGCUAAUACCGCAUAAUAGCAGUUGUUGCAUGACAACUGUUUGAAAGGUGCAAUUGCAUCACUACCAGAUGGACCUGCGUUGUAUUAGCUAGUUGGUGGGGUAACGGCUCACCAAGGCGACGAUACAUAGCCGACCUGAGAGGGUGAUCGGCCACACUGGGACUGAGACAUGGCCCAGACUCCUACGGGAGGCAGCAGUAGGGAAUCUUCGGCAAUGGACGGAAGUCUGACCGAGCAACGCCGCGUGAGUGAAGAAGGUUUUCGGAUCGUAAAGCUCUGUUGUAAGAGAAGAACGAGUGUGAGAGUGGAAAGUUCACACUGUGACG
rnacentral:rRNA from 1 species